rnacentral:rRNA from 1 species
CCUACGGGUGGCAGCAGUGAGGAAUAUUGGUCAAUGGACGAGAGUCUGAACCAGCCAAGUAGCGUGAAGGAUGACUGCCCUAUGGGUUGUAAACUUCUUUUAUAUGGGAAUAAAACGUUCCACGUGUGGGAUUUUGUAUGUACCAUAUGAAUAAGGAUCGGCUAACUCCGUGCCAGCAGCCGCGGUAAUACGGAGGAUCCGAGCGUUAUCCGGAUUUAUUGGGUUUAAAGGGAGCGUAGGUGGAUUGUUAAGUCAGUUGUGAAAGUUUGCGGCUCAACCGUAAAAUUGCAGUUGAAACUGGCAGUCUUGAGUACAGUAGAGGUGGGCGGAAUUCGUGGUGUAGCGGUGAAAUGCUUAGAUAUCACGAAGAACUCCGAUUGCGAAGGCAGUUCACUGGACUACAACUGACACUGAGGCUCGAAAGUGUGGGUAUCAAACAGGAUUAGAUACCCUAGUAGUC